GAUGAACGCUGGCGGCGUGCUUAACACAUGCAAGUCGAACGGUGAAGGCGGAGCUUGCUCUGCUGGAUCAGUGGCGAACGGGUGAGUAACACGUGAGCAAUCUGCCCCUGACUCUGGGAUAAGCGCUGGAAACGGCGUCUAAUACUGGAUACGAGCUGCGAAGGCAUCUUCAGCAGCUGGAAAGAAUUUCGGUCAGGGAUGAGCUCGCGGCCUAUCAGCUUGUUGGUGAGGUAAUGGCUCACCAAGGCGUCGACGGGUAGCCGGCCUGAGAGGGUGACCGGCCACACUGGGACUGAGACACGGCCCAGACUCCUACGGGAGGCAGCAGUGGGGAAUAUUGCACAAUGGGCGAAAGCCUGAUGCAGCAACGCCGCGUGAGGGACGACGGCCUUCGGGUUGUAAACCUCUUUUAGCAGGGAAGAAACGAAAGUGACGGUACCUGCAGAAAAAGCGCCGGCUAACUACGUG
rnacentral:rRNA from 1 species